AACUUGAGAGUUUGAUCAUGGCUCAGAACGUACGCUGGCGGCACGCCUAACACAUGCAAGUCGAACGAAGUAGCAAUACUUAGUGGCAGACGGGUGAGUAACAUGUAGGUAUCUGCCCUUUGGCCUGGAAUAACACGAGGAAACUUGUGCUAAUACCGGAUAAGUCUUUACAGAGAAAGCUUUAUGCACCAUUGGAUGAGCCUGCACUUGAUUAGUUUGUUGGUGGGGUAAUGGCCUACCAAGACUGUGAUCAAUAGCUGAUUUGAGAGGAUGAUCAGCCACAUUGGGACUGAGACACGGCCCAAACUCCUACGGGAGGCAGCAGUGGGGAAUCUUGCACAAUGGAGGAAACUCUGAUGCAGCGAUGCCGCGUGAGUGAAGAAGGCCUUUGGGUUGUAAAGCUCUUUCGUCGGGGAAGAAAAUGACUGUACCCGAAUAAGAAGGUCCGGCUAACUUCGUGCCAGCAGCCGCGGUAAUACGAAGGGACCUAGCGUAGUUCGGAAUUACUGGGCUUAAAGAGUUCGUAGGUGGUUGAAAAAGUUAGUGGUGAAAUCCCAGAGCUUAACUCUGGAACUGCCAUUAAAACUUUUCAGCUAGAGUAUGAUAGAGGAAAGUAGAAUUUCUAGUGUAGAGGUGAAAUUCGUAGAUAUUAGAAAGAAUACCAAUUGCGAAGGCAGCUUUCUGGAUCAUUACUGACACUGAGGAACGAAAGCAUGGGUAGCGAAGAGGAUUAGAUACCCUCGUAGUCCAUGCCGUAAACGAUGUGUGUUAGACGUUGGAGAUUUAUUUUCAGUGUCGCAGCGAAAGCGAUAAACACACCGCCUGGGGAGUACGACCGCAAGGUUAAAACUCAAAUGAAUUGACGGGGACCCGCACAAGUAGUGGAGCAUGUGGUUUAAUUCGAAGAUACGCGCAGAACCUUACCAACACUUGACAUGUUCGUCGCGACUUUAAGAGAUUAAAGUUUUCGGUUCGGCCGGACGAAACACAGGUGCUGCAUGGCUGUCGUCAGCUCGUGUCGUGAGAUGUUGGGUUAAGUCCCGCAACGAGCGCAACCCUCACUUUUAGUUGCCAUCAUUAAGUUGGGCACUCUGAAAGAACUGCCAGUGAUAAGCUGGAGGAAGGUGGGGAUGACGUCAAGUCCUCAUGGCCCUUACGUGUUGGGCUACACACGUGCUACAAUGGUAUCUACAACAGGAAGCAAGACUGCGAGGUCGAGCAAAUCCUUAAAAGAUACCUCAGUUCGGAUUGCACUCUGCAACUCGAGUGCAUGAAGCUGGAAUUACUAGUAAUCGUGGAUCAGCGUGCCACGGUGAAUGCGUUCCCGGGUCUUGUACACACCGCCCGUCACACCAUGGGAGUUGGUUCUACCUUAAGGCAAGGUUUCAAACCCUUGACCACGGUAUAGUCAGCGACUGGGGUGAAGUCGUAACAAGGUAGCCGUAGGGGAACCUGCGGCUGGAUUACCUCCUUUCUAA
rnacentral:rRNA from 1 species